GUGGGGAAUCUUGCGCAAUGGGCGAAAGCCUGACGCAGCCAUGCCGCGUGAAUGAUGAAGGUCUUAGGAUUGUAAAAUUCUUUCACCGGGGACGAUAAUGACGGUACCCGGAGAAGAAGCCCCGGCUAACUUCGUGCCAGCAGCCGCGGUAAUACGAAGGGGGCUAGCGUUGCUCGGAAUUACUGGGCGUAAAGGGCGCGUAGGCGGACAGUUUAGUCAGAGGUGAAAGCCCAGGGCUCAACCUUGGAAUUGCCUUUGAUACUGGCUGUCUUGAGUACGGGAGAGGUGAGUGGAACUCCGAGUGUAGAGGUGAAAUUCGUAGAUAUUCGGAAGAACACCAGUGGCGAAGGCGACUCACUGGCCCGUUACUGACGCUGAGGCGCGAAAGCGUGGGGAGCAAACAGGAUUAGAUACCCCGGUAGUCC
rnacentral:rRNA from 1 species